rnacentral:lncRNA from 1 species
CUAUAAUUUGUCUAAAAUUUCUAUCUGUUAGAAAUAUCAGUAACUAAGAAAGGAAUGUGGCAAUCUCCCUCUAUCGUUAGCAGAUUUGUAAAUGUCUUGCUCUAGCAAUUUUUGCUUUUGAUGUUUGAGAUUAUUUUAUUAGGUACAUACAAGUUGUUACACUUUCCUAGUAAGCUAAAUCAUUUAACGUUCUAGUAGUGACUUGCUCUGUCUCUAAAGUGCUUUAAAAUUUUUUAAAGUCUAUUUUGUUUACUGCUAGUAUGGGGAAGAAGUAUAGAUUAGUGGAUAAAAACAGACUCUGGCCUGUAAUCCCAGCACUUUGGGAGGCUGAGGUGGACAGAUCACUUGAGCUCAGGAGUUUGAGACCAACCUGGGCAACAUGGUGAAACCCCGUCUCUACUAAAAAUACAAAAAUUAGCCAAGUGUGGUGGCCCAUGCCUGUAGUCCCAGGUACUCGGGAGGCUGAGGCAGGAGAAUCACUUGAACACAGGAGGCAGAGGUUGCAGUGAGCCAAGAUCGUGCCACCGCAUGCCAGCCUGGGUGACAGAAUGAGACCCUGUCUAAAAAAAAAAAAACAAAACAUUAAUGUCAAUUCUUAUCAUUCUAUCCUCCAUUUAUUUUAACUUAUUUUUAUAUAGGUUGAACAUCCAAAAUUCAAAAAUCUAAAAUCCAUAUUGCUCCAAAAUCUGAAACUUUUUGAGCAUUGACAUGACACUCAAAGGAAAUGCUCAUUGGAAUAAUUUGAAGUUUUGGACUUGGGAUGUUCAACUGGAGGAGCCUGCUCUGGGACCUGACCCGCCCUCUAGCCUUACACUAUCCCGGGACAAUACGUUGUUCAGGUCAGCAUGUCAGCCGCCUCCCACACCCUGCGUGAGGCAGCAGAGAAAGGAGGGAGCGGAAGGUUUGAACGUCAGCUGGAGUCUCACCUGCACCUGGACAUCCUGCACAUCUCUAGGAGGAUGGUCUCAUUUCCCCACUGAGACCUACUGGCAGAGUGAGAAUAUAGGCCCCUAAAUGCAGUCUGGCCAUCACUGGUGUCUUCCUCCUUUAGGGCAGGCCCUGGACACCCACGUGUUUCCUCUGCCCACCACCAGCGCCUCUCCUCUGGCUUCCUGCAGAGCUGUCCAGAUUCCUACCAGGGGCUGAAGUCUCACCUUGACACUGCCUAGCUCUUGUCAGCCCCAUGGCCACGUUUCCUCUUGCUGUGGGAAUGAAGAGACCAUCGGUAUCGGGAUCCCCUUGGUGGAUGUUCUAUUGCUGUGUCCCUUCCACCAGAUUGGAACUUCUUGGAAAUGAAUACUAGCCUGAGUUGGGCAGGAGCCACCAAACUUCCCCGGGCAUUUCAUUUUCAACUCCACUCUCCUCCCCAGGGAUCAGUUCUGUUAGUUCCAUUUCACGGUUCGUGAUCAGUCCAUUAUCAGUUUUUCUUCUCUUCCAGCAGACAGUGAGGUCUUGGUCUAACUUACUGCCAAGCCUACAUAAAUUUAGGAUGAUUUGAUUGCUGAAAGUGGUUCACAAACUUGGCUGGCACUAAGCACUUUUCAUAUCCAAGAUUCCAAAGAUGUAACCUAAAGUUCCCAUGAUUUUUAGGUGUAAAUUAUCUCCUUUUCUCCAGACCUUUAACAGCUACUCAAAGGGUCACAGAUGUUUUACAUUCAAGUCGUUUCUUUCCUUUUUAAAGCAAUGACUGUCUGUGUGUCUUCCUCUACCCAGUAAGUUAGCAUAUAUUUUAAUAUUUCUCUCUCUUUAAAACACAUAUUUUGACAUUUCUCUUUAUUACAAAACAAAAUUUAUGAAAUGGAAGCAGCAGAAGGUAAAAUCCAGGCUCCCUCUACUUCAUCGCCCUAACCUUUAAGACCUAUCUUAGAUCCUAAGCCUUCAUUACCACAGGAGUGCCUCGAGUCCAAUUCUUUCUAACCAUUUCUGCCCAAAUGUUGAUAGUCAAUCGUGAACCGCCUGAGGUUGUUCUUUAGUUGUUUAACACACGUUGGCCUGAUUUGAGGGAUCUGAGCAUAAACCCCUUGAGAGCUAGACAGAUGCAGCCUGUUGUUAUUUCUUGGGUGUCCCUGUGUGUCAGGCAUAUAGUAGUUGCUUAAAAAACACUUAUUGAAUUAACCAUAAGCUGCCACCACUUUCAGGGGUGCCACGUCCCAGUCAGGAGCACAUUACACUUCCCAGUCAGGAGCACAUUCAUUAAAAAGCCCCAAACCUUACCACGAGCAGCUACAACAGCAGCACCAGCAGAAGCAGCAUGCGUUGGACCCGCGACUCCCCGCUCCGGGCUGGCCUGGGGCGGCGCCUGGUGUGUCCUGGGCGGCGGGCAUCUGCCGCUUCCGCAUCUCCAUCCGCUCUGAUCCCAUCUGCUGCAAGAGGGAGAGGAACAAAGCGGGCGGGAGGGGGUUCCAGCGUUAUGAAGGCGUAAGCCCAGGGAGUCAGCUGUUUGGAUCAUUGAAAAGAUACAGUGCGACUACAUUCAGGUCAUUUUUGCUACUUCUCGUAAAAUUUAGUGCUUAGAAUCUUAGGAUCAAUUAAUGUAUCCAACAUGUAACGCUUAUCCUCUGCCAAGCAUUGAGAUACAUUCCAGGGAUAAACUAGCAGAUGGAAGGCCCCUCCUUAGGCGCUCACAGUUCAGUAAAGGAGACAGAGACACACGCACUGAAGACUCUGCAGUCAGUGCUACGCAGGGCCGUUCCCAGCUCCAGGCAUCCCUGUGGCCUGAACCAAAGGGGGACAGGGAUGGUGGCAGCUUCAUGACGCUGCCUGUGAGGCCAACGCUCAGAUAUGGGAGGAGGUCAACAUGGGAAGGGCGGCCCAGCUAAUACAGCAGGCUGACGAGAGGUCAGAAGAGGAGGUGAGUCCUGGAUGCCAGAGUGGCCUGAGUCACAUCUUUCCUAGCUGCGUCACCUUGCAGAAGUGAUUGAAAUUGGGACGUGGAAGCAUUCAGAACCCCGCCUGGUACAGAGCAAUUGCUCAAUUAUUCCCAGGAAGCCAGGCAGGAGAGCCAGACUGUGGCCUGCCCGGACCUGUCUUUCCGUACCAGGGAUGGUCACCCUCACCUACUUCAAUGGAGGCCAAGCCAUACGACACAAAAGAUCUGUGCCCUUCAGCCUCUGCCCUGUUGUUGGGGACUCCAAGAAUGUGAAAGAAGAGAGAUAUAAAAGCAGCAUGAGAAGCAAGAAAUUGCUAAGCCCAUUUUACGUUGGAUACUAUCACUUGAUGGAGCUAAUUGCAAGCUAAUAUCAAGGACACAUUAAAGAAC